rnacentral:rRNA from 1 species
UACGUAGGGUGCGAGCGUUGUCCGGAUUUAUUGGGCGUAAAGAGCUCGUAGGCGGUUUGUCGCGUCGGCCGUGAAAUCUCCACGCUUAACGUGGAGCGUGCGGUCGAUACGGGCAGACUUGAGUUCGGUAGGGGAGACUGGAAUUCCUGGUGUAGCGGUGAAAUGCGCAGAUAUCAGGAGGAACACCGGUGGCGAAGGCGGGUCUCUGGGCCGAUACUGACGCUGGAGGAGCGAAAAGCGUUGGGGAGCGAACAGG